UACGAAGGGGGCUAGCGUUGUCCGGAAUUACUGGGCGUAAAGCGCACGUAGGCGGAUUGUUAAGUCAGAGGUGAAAUCCCGGAGCUCAACUUCGGAACUGCCUUUGAUACUGGCAAUCUAGAGUCCGGAAGAGGUUAGUGGAAUUCCCAGUGUAGAGGUGAAAUUCGUAGAUAUUGGGAAGAACACCAGUGGCGAAGGCGGCUAACUGGUCCGGUACUGACGCUGAGGUGCGAAAGCGUGGGGAGCGAACAGG
rnacentral:rRNA from 1 species